UACGAAGGGGGCUAGCGUUGCUCGGAAUCACUGGGCGUAAAGAGCGCGCAGGCGGUCCGAUCAGUCGAAUGUGAAAGCCCCCGGCUCAACUGGGGAGGGUCAUUCGAUACUGUUCGACUCGAAGGCAGGAGAGGGAAGUGGAAUUCCGGGUGUAGCGGUGGAAUGCGUAGAGAUCCGGAAGAACACCGGUGGCGAAGGCGGCCUGCUGGGCAAUUGCUGACACUGAGGCGCGACAGCGUGGGGAGCAAACAGGG
rnacentral:rRNA from 1 species